rnacentral:rRNA from 1 species
AUUGAACGCUGGCGGCAGGCCUAACACAUGCAAGUCGAACGAGUGGCGGACGGGUGAGUAAUGUCUGGGAAACUGCCUGAUGGAGGGGGAUAACUACUGGAAACGGUAGCUAAUACCGCAUACCAUCGGAUGUGCCCAGAUGGGAUUAGCUAGUAGGUGGGGUACAUGCUCACCUAGGCGACGAUCCCUAGCUGGUCUGAGAGUAUGACCAGCCAUGCUGGAAAUGAGACACGGUCCAGACUCCUACGGGAGGCAGCAGUUGGGAAUAGUGCACAAUGGGUGCAAGGCUGAUGUAGCCAUGUCGCGUGUAUGAUGAAUGCCUUCGUGUUGUAAAGUACUUUCAGCGGUGAGGCGUUACCCGCAGAAGAAGCACCGGCUAACUCCGUGAAAGCAGCCGCGGUAAUUC